GAAAGAGGAACCCGAUCGAUUAGUGUCAAAAUAAACUAGCUAUCAAAGUUUUUUAAAAAACCCCAACAAUUUUAUAUAAACAUAACUACUCAAAGCAAAAAGAUUUAUCCAGCGUUCAACCAUGUUUGAAUACUCUCCAGGUUAUAUUGCUGCUCUCCAGGUGUUUGCAUACUCCAAUCUGUAAAAACAAUUAAUUCUCUAUUUCUCAUCUUUGAAUGCUAUCAUUCACAGCAUCUGUCCACAUAUUUGUAGCUAUGCCAGCUCUUCAUGCAUUAUCAAUAUGUCGUUGUUGCUCUUGAGUUUGAUUACCUAGUUCAUCAUCAUUAUCUUCAUCUUCAUAUUCAUCAUCUUCUGGUUCGAUUGGAAAUUCAUCAGAACGACACUCCUUGCGAAGAAAGUUGUGCAACCCUGCACAAGCUAACACUAACUCUGCUUGUGUUUUAAUUGGAAAUGGAGGUGCAGACUUAAAAAUUGUGAAACGAGAUUUAAAUACACCAAAUAUCCUCUCCACUACGUUUCUCAAGGAAGCAUGUCGAAGAUUAAACAAUUCAUUCGCAUUUACGGGGUCACGAACAUUACCAGCAAAAUCUUGGAGAUGAUAUCGAAUACCUCGAAAUAGAGCUAAAAAGGACUAUAAAAGCGUAACAUGAUAAUAGAGAUUACAAGUAUAAAUGACUAUAAAAAGGAUUGGGACAACAGAUUGACAUAUUAUUAAUAGGGAUUACGCAACAAGUAUAAUGACUAUAACAACAAACGAGCAGGUCGUUUUUUCCCUUUGUUUCUUAGCUUCAAUUAGGGUUUUAAACCUGCUUGGUUUCUGUAGUUAGAUUUUUGUUUUAUUAACCCUAACAUAGAAAGACUUGGCACUGGAAGACUUGGCAGUGGACUAACUAUAUUAUAUAAAUUUCCACUAAUCUAGAAAGAACAACAUAAAAAUAUUCAAUUUUCCUUAGCAUGACAUGGAUGAUAAAAUAUUCAAGGUAAAUUUUCCUCAUGCCUAACCAAAAAAUAACCAAAAAAAAAAAAAUUGGAGACUGGACAAGUAAGCUUUGAAUUUAUAUUUGUCUGUUGGUUCAGUUUCUGCAUAUCCCAGAUUUGUAAGAUAUCUAGGGCAUAUGGGAAUUUUCAUUGGCCGUAGUUGUUUGGUAAAAGAAACAAAUUCGCAGCCUUCACAACAAGGACAAAAUGGAAGCAGACGGGGAAGAAGUUGCAGAGAUUGUACCUUCGCUUGAACGGAGACUAGAGAGGAGAGAGCAGCA
rnacentral:lncRNA from 1 species